AGAAUGAACGCUGGCGGCGUGCUUUACACAUGCAAGUCGAGCGAGGCGUGUAGCAAUACACAGCCCUAGCGGCGAACGGGUGAGUAACGCGUGGAUGACCUGCCCUUCAGCGGGGAAUAACCCGGGGGAAACUCGGGCUAAUACCGCAUACGACCGAGAGGUGAAAGGGGGCCGCAAGGCUCUCACUGAAGGAGGGGUCCGCGUUCGAUUAGCUAGUUGGUAGGGUAAUGGCCUACCAAGGCGACGAUCGAUAGCCGGCCUGAGAGGGUGAUCGGCCACACUGGAACUGAGACACGGUCCAGACUCCUACGGGAGGCAGCAGUGGGGAAUUUGCGCAAUGGGCUAACGCCUGACGCAGCAACGCCGCGUGGAGGAUGAAGGUCUUGGAUUGUAAACUCCUGUCAGCAGGAAAAGGAUAAGACCUCAUACGUCUUAAACUUGAUUGUACCUGCAGAGAAGCCCCGGCUAACUCUGUGCCAGCAGCCGCGGUAAUCUAGA
rnacentral:rRNA from 1 species